rnacentral:rRNA from 1 species
AGCGAACGCUGGCGGCAGGCCUAACACAUGCAAGUCGAACGAACCUUUCGGGGUUAGUGGCGGACGGGUGAGUAACACGUGGGAACGUGCCUUUAGGUUCGGAAUAACUCAGGGAAACUUGUGCUAAUACCGAAUGUGCUCUUCGGGGGAAAGAUUAAUCGCCUUUAGAGCGGCCGGCGUCUGAUUAGCUAGUUGGUUGAGGUAAUGGCUCACCAAGGCGACGAUCAGUAGCUGGUCUGAGAGGAUGAUCAGCCACAUUGGGACUGAGACACGGCCCAAACUCCUACGGGAGGCAGCAGUGGGGAAUCUUGCGCAAGGGGCGAAAGCCUGACGCAGCCAUGCCGCGUGAAUGAUGAAGGUCUUAGGAGUGUAAAAUUCUUUCACCGGGGACGAUAAUGACGGUACCCGGAGAAGAAGCCCCGGCUAACUUCGUG